GAUGAAGAACGUAGUGAAAUGCGAUAAGUAAUGUGAAUUGCAGAAUUCAGUGAAUCAUCGAAUCUUUGAACGCACAUUGCGCCCGCCAGCACUCUGGCGGGUAUGCCUGUUCGAGCGUCAUUUCAACCAUCAAGCCCCCAGGGGCUUGUGCUGGGGCCCUGCGGCUGCCCGCAGGCCCUGAAAACCAGUGGCGGGCUCGCUAGUCACACCGAGCGCAGUAGCACAUCUCGCUCAGGGCGUGCGGCGGGCUCCUGCCGUGAAACCCCCCACUGUAACCCCAAAGGUUGACCUCGGAUCAGGUAGGAAUACCCGCUGAACUUAAGCAUAUCAAUAAGCGGAGGA
rnacentral:misc_RNA from 1 species